rnacentral:rRNA from 1 species
UACGUAGGGUGCAAGCGUUGUCCGGAAUUAUUGGGCGUAAAGAGCUCGUAGGCGGUUUGUCGCGUCUGCUGUGAAAACCCGAGGCUCAACCUCGGCCGCAGUGGGUACGGGCAGACUAGAGUGCGGUAGGGGAGAUUGGAAUUCCUGGUGUAGCGGUGGAAUGCGCAGAUAGUCAGGAGGAACACCAAUGGCGAAGGCAGAUCUCUGGGCCGUAACUGACGCUGAGGAGCGAAAGCAUGGGGAGCGAACAGG